rnacentral:rRNA from 1 species
AUUGAACACUGGCGGCAGGCUUAACACAUGCAAGUCGAACGAGUGGCGGACGGGUGAGUAAUGCUUGGGAAUCUAGCUUAUGGAGGGGGAUAACUACGGGAAACUGUAGCUAAUACCGCGUACCAUAGGAGGAGCCCAAGUGGGAUUAGGUAGUUGGUGAGGGAAAGGCUCACCAAGCCGACGACCUCUAGCGGGUCUGAGAGGAUGACCCGGCCAACUGGGACUGAGACACGGCCCAUACUCCUACGGGAGGGAGCAGUGGGGAAUAUUGCGGAAUGGGGGCAACCUGACGCAGCCAUGCCGCGUGAAUGAAGAAGGCCUUCGGGUUGUAAAGUUCUUUCGGUAGCGAGGCGUUAACUACAGAAGAAGCACCGGCUAACUCCGUGCCAGCAGCCGCGGUAAUAC